rnacentral:rRNA from 1 species
GCGAGUGAAGCGGCAAAAGCUCAAAUUUGAAAUCUGGCACCUUCGGUGUCCGAGUUGUAAUUUGAAGAAGGUAACUUUGGAGUUGGCUCUUGUCUAUGUUCCUUGGAACAGGACGUCACAGAGGGUGAGAAUCCCGUGCGAUGAGAUGCCCAAUUCUAUGUAAAGUGCUUUCGAAGAGUCGAGUUGUUUGGGAAUGCAGCUCUAAGUGGGUGGUAAAUUCCAUCUAAAGCUAAAUAUUGGCGAGAGACCGAUAGCGAACAAGUACAGUGAUGGAAAGAUGAAAAGAACUUUGAAAAGAGAGUGAAAAAGUACGUGAAAUUGUUGAAAGGGAAGGGCUUGAGAUCAGACUUGGUAUUUUGCGAUCCUUUCCUUCUUGGUUGGGUUCCUCGCAGCUUACUGGGCCAGCAUCGGUUUGGAUGGUAGGAUAAUGACUAAGGAAUGUGGCUCUACUUCGGUGGAGUGUUAUAGCCUUGGUUGAUACUGCCUGUCUAGACCGAGGACUGCGUCUUUGACUAGGAUGCUGGCAUAAUGAUCUUAAGCCACCC